CUUGAAUACUCUCCAUUGAAGGAGAUACCAUGUGGGAGGAAAGUGUCACGUGACAAAUUCACUCAAUGGCGGAGGAUUAAACAAACGGACUAUCGAAGGGAGUCUUGGGGUACUGAACGGAACCGUCCCGACACCUGACCUGGGUAGGAUAAAGCUGCCGGUGUCCUCGCCGACCGCCAUUCAUUUAUGACGUGCUGGCGGGCUAGUGAAUUGACCUCUGUGGGUGCAAGAGGGACCAGAUCAUUCACCUUCACACGCCUGAGGCCCUCCUUUGCAAGCCCGUCAACCACUUCAUUCCCCUUCAGGCCGACAUGAGCUGGGACCCAUACCAUGAGAUAGAAAUGUCAACUGAAGGGUCCUGGAGGGUCCACGGAGGAACCUUAGACGGCCUCAGGUCUGCCACACUUACAUCUUUGAGCCCGGCCUCCUCAACAAUGCUUUGGGUGUAAGCGCCAAAAG